AUUGUAUGGCUAUAUAAGUGUUUGAGUCUUGGUUUUGUGAGGCAAAUAUCGUUGGUUCUAUUUUGCUUGCUGUUACUUUACUCUGGUAUUUCAUAAUUGGAAUUCUCUAUGUUAUCUGGGAGGAUUAUUCUAAUGACUUCAUUUGUUGAUUCACCUGUGGAUUGCUGAUUCUUUUAUUAGAGAAAAUAAGCUUGUGUCCAUGAAGCUGAUUCUGCUUGACCAACAUUUGAAUUGAAGAAGCAAAGUUCAUGCUCAGUUCAGUUGACUAACAAUACUUACCACUAUGUUGCUUUUAAGGUCAAGACCACAUCGCCGAAGAAAUAUAUCAGGUUGAGGUUUGUCUGCAGCAGAGUUUUUUCUUCCCCCUCUGCGGUGCCGUGCUUUUUUGUGCAAGGAUUGGUGAUAUUCUUGUACUGCUCUCGGGUUUUACCAUUUUACUUGAAGACCUGUUUCUGGUUGCUUCUCGUUGAUUUGAGUGGCAAGUUUGGUUUGAAUUGGUCGCACAUGUUGUGCGUAGGUUGUUGGGGUGGGAAUGCAAAUCAGUUUGUGUGUUAUUUGGAGAGAUAAUGAUUGACUGAGUAUUUAAAUUUGGGGAGUUGAAUUGAGGCGCAAGAUUAGGAGCAAGGGGUGGGUUAUUUGCUGACACAGUAUUUUGUGGAAGAGAGUGGGGAAGUGAGGUUGAAUUUGAAUUAGAAGAUGAGGCAGGUAAAGAAGAGUAAGGAAAAAUAUUCUUAACAAACCUUACAUGUUGUGAUCAGUGAUGUAUACAGUUUUUCCUUAUAUUCUUGAGUUUGUUCUUUUCAGAUUUUUUUCCUCUUUAGCCUUUGGCUUUCUUUUGUAUUUUGGUUGAGGUACCCAUAGUCCCAUAGUACCUCCUUCAAUAUAUUAUC